CUCGUUCUUUUAGUUGGUGAGAUUUGCCGCUACGUUUAUCGCAAUCGGCAUAGUGUAGUGUGUCACUUAGGGAAUGUGAAUCAUAUUAACUUAUGGUUCAACCAAAGGAUACCUAGUGGGACUUCUCUCAUUAUGGUAUCUACCCACGAUAUUAUUGAUACUACUCUCUCGGGGAUGGAUGUUCUCUCUCCCUUGGGAAAAUAGGAUUCAAAUUUUCUUACAAUUAAUUUGCCUAAUGGAAUUGCUCAACAUAUUCUACCUCUCCCUACGUCCAUUGAAACUAAUUGUCUUGACGCUAUCGGGUGGGGAGGCACUAAUACUCGCCACUUCACGGAAGUGGAUCUUCAAAAACAUCACCAUCAAACAUCAGGGAGCUCAAAUGGACAAUUGAACUUCUAUUUUCAUGGUGGCAUGCUGGAACUUGUGGAAAUGGAAAACCAAGUCUUUCUUUGAAGAGAACUUCUGAAGAUUAGAGGAUCCUUUCUUUGUGGUUGUCAAGAUGGAAACAAACAUUGUCAAUAAUAAUCUCCAUAAUUGGGGUAUCCACCAGAGCAACAUUGUGUUUAUUGGUUGGGAGUGGCCCCAAGAAUGAUGGCUUAAGUUUAAUUGUGAUUGAGCACACCGAUCAUAGAUUGAUGUCUUAGGAUUUUUUAUUUUUUUUUUCCCUUAAGUCACAAACAUUAAACAUUUUAGUUAUUUAAAUUUUUUU